rnacentral:rRNA from 1 species
AACGUAGGUGGCGAGCGUUAUCCGGAUUUACUGGGCGUAAAGGGUGUGCAGGCUGCCCGUCAAGUGGUGUAUGAAAGUGCCCGGCUCAACCGGGCUUGGUUAUGGCCAGACUGACGGGCUAGAGAGCGAGAGCGGGGACGUGGAAUUCCGGGUGUAGUGGUGAAAAUGCGCAGAUAUCAGGAGGAACACCGGUGGCGAAGGCGGUUCUCUGGGCAUUACCUGACGCUGGAGGAGCGAAAAGUGUGGG